rnacentral:rRNA from 1 species
UACGUAGGGACCGAGCGUUGUCCGGAUUCAUUGGGCGUAAAGAGCUCGUAGGCGGCUGUUCAAGUCGAACGUGAAAACUCGGAGCUCAACUCCGAGCCUGCGUUCGAUACUGGACGGCUAGAGUCUGGUAGGGGGAUCUGGAAUUCCUGGUGUAGCGGUGAAAUGCGCAGAUAUCAGGAAGAACACCCGUGGCGAAGGCGGCUUUCUGGGACGGUACUGACGCUGAGACGCGAAAGCGUGGGGGAGCGAACAGG